rnacentral:rRNA from 1 species
CAGGCUUAACACAUGCAAGUCGAGGGGCAGCAUGGUCUUAGCUUGCUAAGGCCGAUGGCGACCGGCGCACGGGUGAGUAACACGUAUCCAACCUGCCGUCUACUCUUGGACAGCCUUCUGAAAGGAAGAUUAAUACAAGAUGGCAUCAUGAGUCCGCAUGUUCACAUGAUUAAAGGUAUUCCGGUAGACGAUGGGGAUGCGUUCCAUUAGAUAGUAGGCGGGGUAACGGCCCACCUAGUCUUCGAUGGAUAGGGGUUCUGAGAGGAAGGUCCCCCACAUUGGAACUGAGACACGGUCCAAACUCCUACGGGAGGCAGCAGUGAGGAAUAUUGGUCAAUGGGCGAGAGCCUGAACCAGCCAAGUAGCGUGAAGGAUGACUGCCCUAUGGGUUGUAAACUUCUUUUAUAAAGGAAUAAAGUCGGGUAUGGAUACCCGUUUGCAUGUACUUUAUGAAUAAGGAUCGGCUAACUCCGUGCCAGCAGCCGCGGUAAUACGGAGGAUCCGAGCGUUAUCCGGAUUUAUUGGGUUUAAAGGGAGCGUAGAUGGAUGUUUAAGUCAGUUGUGAAAGUUUGCGGCUCAACCGUAAAAUUGCAGUUGAUACUGGAUAUCUUGAGUGCAGUUGAGGCAGGCGGAAUUCGUGGUGUAGCGGUGAAAUGCUUAGAUAUCACGAAGAACUCCGAUUGCGAAGGCAGCCUGCUAAGCUGCAACUGACAUUGAGGCUCGAAAGUGUGGGUAUCAAACAGGAUUAGAUACCCUGGUAGUCCACACGGUAAACGAUGAAUACUCGCUGUUUGCGAUAUACUGCAAGCGGCCAAGCGAAAGCGUUAAGUAUUCCACCUGGGGAGUACGCCGGCAACGGUGAAACUCAAAGGAAUUGACGGGGGCCCGCACAAGCGGAGGAACAUGUGGUUUAAUUCGAUGAUACGCGAGGAACCUUACCCGGGCUUAAAUUGCAGAUGAAUUACGGUGAAAGCCGUAAGCCGCAAGGCAUCUGUGAAGGUGCUGCAUGGUUGUCGUCAGCUCGUGCCGUGAGGUGUCGGCUUAAGUGCCAUAACGAGCGCAACCCUUGUUGUCAGUUACUAACAGGUUCCGCUGAGGACUCUGACAAGACUGCCAUCGUAAGAUGUGAGGAAGGUGGGGAUGACGUCAAAUCAGCACGGCCCUUACGUCCGGGGCUACACACGUGUUACAAUGGGGGGUACAGAGGGUCGCUACCACGCGAGUGGGUGCCAAUCCCCAAAACCUCUCUCAGUUCGGACUGGAGUCUGCAACCCGACUCCACGAAGCUGGAUUCGCUAGUAAUCGCGCAUCAGCCACGGCGCGGUGAAUACGUUCCCGGGCCUUGUACACACCGCCCGUCAAGCCAUGGGAGCCGGGGGUACCUGAAGUGCGUAACCGCGAGGAGCGCCCUAGGGUAAAACUGGUGACUGGGGC